CGCCCCGCGCUCCGCCCCGCCCCGCCCCGCCCCGCGCUCCCUCCGCCGCCGCCCGCCGCAGCGGAGUAGUGCCUUCCGCAUUGCUCCGUACCGCCGGCUCACGGUCUCUUCCGCGGCGGUGCUCGGGAGCCGCAGGAACCGAUAUUCAAUGGCUAGAAACAGGUGACAAGUGGCUGAAAUGAAUAUGACUGCUAUUCUACAAGAGAUCUUGAUUAAAAGGUCGCAGCAGAAGAAGAGGACUUCUCCCUUAAACUACAAAGAGAGGCUUUUUGUACUUACAAAUUCUAUGUUAACAUAUUAUGAAGGUCGAGCAGAGAAAAAGUACAGAAAAGGAUCUGUGGAUAUUUCAAGGAUUAAAUGUGUGGAAGUUGUACAAAAUGAUGGUAUUAUUCCCUGUCAAAAUAAAUAUCCGUUUCAGGUUGUAUAUGAUGCUAAUACACUUUAUAUUUUUGCACCAAGUGCACAAAGCCGGGAUCAGUGGGUGAGGAAUCUGAAAGAAGGAAUAAAGAACAACAGCAAUAUAAUGAUAAAAUAUCAUCCUAAAUUCUGGACAGAGGGAAUUUAUCAGUGCUGCAGACAGACAGAAAAAUUAGCACCUGGCUGUGAAAAAUACAAUCUUUUUGAAAAUAGUGUAGUAACGCUGCCCUCUCCAAUGCCAGCAAAAAGUACGCGAAGGCCACCACCACCUGUUCCUCCAGCUGAGGAAAAUGACAAUGAAGAGGAGGAGAUAGUGGUUGCGAUGUAUGACUUCCAGCCUACAGAACGUCAUGAUUUAAGGUUAGAUAAAGGUGAAGAAUACAUAGUAAUCGAGAAGAAUGACAUUCACUGGUGGAAGGCGAGAGACAAACAUGGGUUUGAAGGUUAUAUCCCAAGCAACUAUGUAACGGGAAAGAAGUCCAACAACCUUGAUCAAUAUGAGUGGUACAGCAGAAACCUGAACCGCAGCAAGGCAGAGCAGCUCCUUAGAAACGAGGACAAAGAAGGUGGUUUUGUGGUGAGAGAUUCAAGUCAGCCUGGCCUGUAUACAGUUUCCCUUUAUACAAAAUUUGGAGGAGAAGGUUCAUCGGGAAUAAGACACUACCAUAUAAAAGAAACAGUGACAUCACCGAAGCAAUACUACCUUGCAGAAAAACAUCUUUUUAACUCCAUUCCAGAAAUAAUUGAGUAUCACAAACAUAAUGCAGCAGGUCUUGUUACCAGGCUGCGUUACCCAGUGACCCCAAAGAAGACAACAGCACCAACAACUGCUGGAUUCAGCUAUGAGAAAUGGGAAAUUAAUCCAUCAGAGCUGACUUUCAUGAGAGAACUGGGGAGUGGCCUGUUUGGAGUAGUGCGCCUUGGGAAAUGGAGAGCACAGUACAAAGUGGCCAUCAAAGCAAUUCGGGAAGGUGCGAUGUAUGAAGAGGAUUUUAUUGAGGAAGCCAAAGUAAUGAUGAAACUAACACAUCCUAAGUUAGUUCAGCUGUAUGGUGUAUGCACGCAACAGAGACCCAUCUACAUAGUGACAGAGUUCAUGGAGCAUGGCUGCCUUCUGAAUUACCUAAGACAAAAACGUGGGGUUUUGAGUAAAGAUGUCCUGCUCACAAUGUGCCAAGAUGUCUGUGAGGGAAUGGAAUACCUGGAGAGGAACAGCUUUAUCCACAGAGACCUGGCUGCCAGGAACUGCUUGGUGAAUGAUUUGGGAGUGGUCAAAGUGUCUGAUUUUGGGAUGACAAGGUAUGUCCUUGAUGAUCAAUACACGAGCUCCUCGGGGGCUAAAUUUCCUGUGAAGUGGUGCCCACCAGAAGUGUUUAAUUACAGCCGAUUCAGCAGCAAGUCAGAUGUCUGGUCAUUCGGUGUUUUAAUGUGGGAAGUGUUUACAGAAGGAAAAAUGCCCUUUGAAAAAAGUUCCAACUAUGAUGUGGUAACUAUGGUUAGCCAAGGACAUCGCUUGUACCGCCCCAAACUGGCCUGUAAGCAGGUAUAUGAAGUCAUGAUGAUGUGCUGGCAGGAGGUGGUGUGAGAGAGACAUAAAGAGAAAAGGAAAAGAAGGUGCUCCUUGAACUGCUGCAGAUAAUACAUAAAAAAACCAGGAUGUGGGGGAUUGGACUAGAUGAUCUUUCAAGGUCCCUUCCAAUCCCUGACAUUCUGUGAUUCUAAACCAGAGGGACGCCCAACUUUUGAAGACUUGCUCCAUAUAAUCGUUGACAUUGCAGAGGGUGAAGAUGCUUUCUGAGAAAAGGCAAUAUCAGCACAAGUACAGAAAAGAAACCACUUUCCAGAGUUGUCUUCACUGUUUCUUUUUAAAGGCUCGGUCCUGGAUGCUGCUAGAUGCUGCUAAACAGUGUGGGGAGCCUGUAAUGUUUAGUUUGCUUCAAUACAAGGGGAGUUUUACAUGAUGCUGGGAAAUAAGCAAAGUAUCUUCAGCAAUAAUAGCAGUCUGUACUUUCUCUGAAAAAUCGGUGUUGUGUAGCCAGCUCCUUGUGGAGGAAGAAAGUAAAAAAGACCCAAGUCUGGGAGCUUAAUUUGCGUUUACGGAUUUGGGUUCAUGUACAUAUGAUCCAUGUUUCUGAAUUUCUCUUUAUACAGGUAGUAGCAGUAGUGAUGUGCAUGCUUAAAAAUUGAAGGUUUCUAUUUACUGACAUUCCAAUGUUUCAGGAUUCUCCAGAAACACUAUUCUUCUCAGUUGAUGGAUGUUUUAUGACACACCAGGAACACAAAAUGUGCCUCUUUCAUUUGCAUGUAAUAGGUUGUUAACAGUACAGUCUUCAGUUCGGUGUAACACUCAAAAGUGUUGCUUCAGGACUGAACCAUGACGUGCCCUGAGCCAUUCUAGGCUAUUUGGUGAAUGAAAGACCUUCCAAUGUUGGUCAUGACAUUACUCAUGAAAAAAUCAGUCCAAGAUUCAGCACAACUAGCUGCCAACGUACCACAGUACCUUGUUUUAGAUCAAUUAUAAAAUAAUUUAUAUGCUGUAUGUAUUGUAAAUAUAUAAAUUCAAUGCUUUUAUUUAUAUUAACUGUUUUCCACUUGACAUUUUCAAACACAAAUUUGUCCCACCUUCACUUACAACCCAUGUCUAGAGUUGUGUAUGGAAAUGAGAGAAAAUGUACUCUUAAACGUGGUAAAGGAGGGUUUGUCUUUCUGUCUGUCAUUUGUAUGUACAUCGAUUUAAGGUUUCUAUUCUUAACAGACAACAUUGUACUACAUGUGUAUAUAAAUAAAUUGAAUGUUAACUGUUGUUUGGAACAA